rnacentral:lncRNA from 1 species
AAAGUAAUAAACAUAAUAUGAUAGGUGAAAAAAAGAGAUAAGAGUUUUUCAAAAGAUAGCAGUACAUUACAGGUGCAUACAUUUGAACGGUUUUUACAAUUAAAAAUGUAUUUGUUUUCUUUAAAUUUUAAAAAAAAAAUAACACACAUAAUAAAUUGUAUUUUAAAACUGAGUGAUGUUAUGAGUACUGAUAUGGGUAAAUCUCAUUUUGGUCUGGAGGAGAAUACAAGAAUGGUUGGAGUGGGUGGUAGUAGUAGCAGAAGUAGUAGUAGCAGAAGUAGUAGUAGUAGUAGUAGUAGCAGUAGUAGUAGUAGCAGUAGCAGUAGUAGUAGUAGCAGUAGUGACAGACGCAUUAAGCAUGAUACAGCAAAAACAUACAACCCACGAAACGAACAAAGUAAUCCCAUUGCAGAUAAACUACUUACAAAUUUUUUUAAAAAAAAUAAAAUAGUCAUAACAUAUAUAAAGGAAUAUUUUUAUUUAUUUGUUUUUUUUCAUAAAAUUAUGAACGGCAAGCACGAAAAUUUAUAUUUGGAUGAACAUGAAAUUAGAUUGUACAAACAGAAAUUAAAACAUUACCAUCUGUUAAAAUCAGGAUGUAUAAAACAAGAAGAAAAUGAUUAUGAAAAAGUGGAUGGUAAACAUGGGAAAUAUGACACAACACAACAUAAACAACUUUGUUUUUUUCCUUUUUUAUACCAAGAAGUGUUUAUUUGUUUAGAUGAUAUGAAUGUUGAAUCUGCAAGACGUAAGCAUGAGAACGCACUAGGAAACGAACAAAGAAAUGCUGACGAAUAUGUACACAUAGUUUAUCCAUAUAUGCUACUACUGUGUGAAUUAUUACGAAUGUACAUGUUCGUUCAUAACAAAGAAUUUACAAAUUGGUUGAAUAAACAUUUUAAUUUUAGUGGUAUUAAAAAUAAGAAUAAUAGAUCAAUAUUUUUGUAUAAUGUUGAAAAUAUUAUGACCAGGUCAGGUAGCUUUGACUCAAAAGAAUGGAACAAAAUAUUUAGUAUGUUUGAAUUUUUUGAUAUAAAUAUAUGUCAAUUUUUUACUAAUUUGUUUGUGUUACUAGAAAAAAACCAUUUUAUUGUAUAUGGCUUAAACGGUCAUCUAUUUUUCAACAACGAGGGUGCUACUCUGUUGAUUCUUUUGUGUAAAAACUCUGGUCCUAAAGUUAAUUCGAAUUUAUGUACACAUUCAUGUAAUGAUAGAAAUACCACUUUAGGUGUAGUUACACAUGUUGCAUCACAUACUAACAUAUACGACGGGUUAGGUACUGACAAACCAAUGAAAGAACAAACAAAAUUACUAAACGAAAAACGAAUCGAAUCAGCUGUAGUUAAGAAUAUGAAAUAUUUUAUGGUAAAAAACAAAUUAGUGUUAAACGAUU